rnacentral:rRNA from 1 species
AACGAACGCUGGCGGCGCGUCUUAACCAUGCAAGUCGAGCGGCAGGCAGCAAUGCCGCGCGCGGCGGACUGGUGAGUAACACGUGGGUAACGUACCCCGAUGUCCGGGUCAGCCUGUAGAAAUAGAGGGUAAUACCGGAUAGAUCACUGUUUACGUGAGGUAGACAGCGGGAAAGGAGCUUCGGCUCCGCGACGGGAUCGGUCUGCGGCCCAUCAGCUGGACGGCGGGGUAAAGGCCCGCCGUGGCGAGGACGGGUAUCCGGCCUGAGAGGGCGGACGGACACAUUGGGACUGAGAUGCGGCCCAGACUCCUACGGGAGGCAGCAGGUAAGAAUAUUCCGCAAUGGGGGGAACCCUGACGGAGCGACGCCGCGUGAACGAAGAAGGCCGGAAGGUUGUAAAGUUCUUUUCUGUCCGAGGAAGAAGUUUCGGAGGAAAUGCCGGGACGGUGACGGUAGGGCAGGAAUAAGCACCGGCUAAUUACGUG